rnacentral:rRNA from 1 species
GACGAACGCUGGCGGCGUGCUUAACACAUGCAAGUCGAACGGAAAGGCCUGCUUUCCCUUGUGGAUUGCGGGUACUCGCGUGGCGAACGGGUGAGUAACACGUGAGUGAUCUGCCCCCAACUUGGGUAUAAGCCUGGGAAACUGGGUCUAAUUCCCGAUAGGACUGCAGGGUGGUGCCUGUGGUGGAAAACGAUUUUCUAGUGGUUGGGGAUGAGCUCGCGGCCUAUCAGCUUGUUGGUGGGGUAAUGGCCUACCAAGGCGGCGACGGGUAGCCGGCCUGGGAGGGUGGACGGCCACAUUGGGACUGAGAUACGGCCCAGAGUCCUACGGGAGGCAGCAGUGGGGAAUAUUGCACAGUGGGCGGGAGCCUGAUGCAGCGACGCUGCGUGGGGGAUGACGGCCUUCGGGGUGUAAACUCCUUUCGACCGCGAGGAAGCCACCUGGUUGGAAGGGUGGUGACGGUAGUGGUAGAAGAAGCACCGGCUAACUACGUG